AUAAAUUGGAGAAAUCAUUCCUUUUGCCCCGUCAGGUAGGUUUGAGAUUUUAGAAAAAUUAAUUCUCUCUUUAAGAAGAGCUCAGAACUGUCUGUCAUAAGUUUUUCCCUCUGAAUUGUUUUAUACUGUUAUCCAGUACGUCACCGUUUUGUUGUGAAAUUCACCCUCUUCGAAAUGUACUUUCGUUUUCAAAUAUUAAAUGUAGCAUUCCGUUUUUCUUGCUGUGCACGAAAUUUAAAAAAUGCAAUAACUAUAGUUGCUAAGAGACUAAUUACGCAUAAGUUCCUGGUUUAGAACUAAAAUCUUACAUUUUUAGGAAGUAUACUUUAAAAGUUGGGCUGAGGGGAAAUGGAUGUUUGCAUUUGACUUACGAAACGAUGUUACAUAUGUCAGACUUUUCUCUGUAUCAGAGGCCAAAAUUUGAGCCAUGUUGCUUAAUCUGUUCUGACAUGAGAUCCCCUCCUCUGCCACCCUCUCCAUCUGUUUUCUGCUGGUGGGAUCAGCUCUGCUUCUCCUCAGGCAUGUGGUUUAGUCUGUGUAUAUUCAGUACAGUGGCAUUUUUCUCGAAGAAGUGACUAAGGCUCUUGGAUGAAUUCUCUCUUUGAAAGAGGUGGUAGAAUUGCAUCAGAAAGACAUUUACAGUAAAUGGCUCCCCCCUUCUUCCUGUAAUGACCACAUGUGAAAGAAUGCAUUAAUUCUUGUUUUGAGGAAAUGAAAGUUGUAGAGUCCUAUGAAAAACUCCCUUUUUUUUUAUCAUUAAUUAACCAGAUUUCAAUGUUGAAAAUUCUAAAAUCGGGAUCACUUCGUGCUACCUAAAUAAGUGUCGCAGAGAUACAGCUUUUCAGUCCGUAUUCUGUAUGGAGUAACCCACUGUCUUGAAUUCAAAAAGAGGAAAUAAUGUGGACUAUGGCUAUAGUUAAUGGUAUAAGCCCAAACUAACUUCUUCAAUGUAAUUUUCCAUAUUAAACUAA